UACGUUCCCGGACCUUGUACACACCGCCCGUCAAGCGAUGGAAGUUGGGGGGGCCUGAAGACAGUUGUUGUGAGACGCUGUUUAGGGUAAAACCGAUGACUGGCGCU
rnacentral:rRNA from 1 species